rnacentral:rRNA from 1 species
ACAAGGUGCUGCAUGGUUGUCGUCAGCUCGUGCCGUGAGGUGUCGGGUUAAGUCCCAUAACGAGCGCAACCCUUACUGUUAGUUGCCAUCGGGUCAAGCCGGGGACUCUAGCAGGACUACCACCGUAAGGUGAGAGGAAGGUGGGGAUGACGUCAAAUCAGCACGGCCCUUAUGUCCAGGGCUACACACGUGUUACAAUGGCCGGUACAAAGGGCAGCUACACAGCGAUGUGAUGCUAAUCCCAAAAGCCGGUCCCAGUUCGGAUUGGAGUCUGCAACCCGACUCCAUGAAGUUGGAUUCGCUAGUAAUCGCGCAUCAGCCAUGGCGCGGUGAAUACGUUCCCGGGCCUUGUACACACCGCCCGUCAAACCAUGGGAGCUGGGGGUG